AGGAGCGUAGCUCAGUUGGUUAGAGCGCCUCGUUGACAUCGAGGAGGUCGGUGAUUCGAAUUCACUCGUUCCUA
rnacentral:tRNA from 1 species